rnacentral:miRNA from 1 species
AGGUUGACAUACGUUUCCC